CUUAGAGAGAAGCUGGACAUCUGAAACUUGCUCUCUCUCUUGAAACUCAUGAUCAAUGGACUGCCUGCCUCCAAAGGGCAUCUCCACCUGCCUCUGGAUGUUACUUGUCCCUGCAGACUGGAACUGUGCCAGCCUGCAGGAAGCCCAUUGAAAAACUGGAAAAUCUGCAGGUUUCUCUGGUAAAAUGAUUAAUCUACGUUUGCCUCCAGCAAAAGAUUGCUAUACAACUACAAUGUGUAAUACUCUCGAGCAUGAAGCCAUCAACCUUAGUAAAGGAUGAAGCAUAUCUCCUCAGCAGCAUUGUCUACCAUGGGAAGUUAGGAUUAGAAGGGACCUCAGGAGGUCAUCUAGUACAACCUCCUGCUCAAAGCAGGACCUGCCCCAAAUAAACCAUCCCAGUUUCAGAAGCUGUAUUCAAAUGAUAAAACCUUCAGAAAAAGGGAACAUCAUGUUCCACCCAACAUCAAUAGAAGAGAUAUUAAAAAUAACUGCUGUCUUUUUUAAAUACUUCAAGCUGGGGGGCGGGGGAGGAGGGUGGAGGGACAAGUUUGAUGUAUGGUAUGGAAAUUGACAAAACUGGAACUCAAAUUGCAUGGAAAACUUAAUUGCUUGUAAUCCAUUGUUCUAUCCUUUAAUAAACUCAUCCUUCUAAAGAACUUUGAUUCCAUGUAUUCAGAACAGAAGCUACAAAUCCAAAAUUGUAACUGA